rnacentral:rRNA from 1 species
CCUACGGGAGGCUGCAGUGAGGAAUAUUGGUCAAUGGACGCACGUCUGAAUCAGCCAAGUCGCGUGAAGGAAGAAGGUCCUAUGGUUUGUAAACUUCUUUUAUAGGGGAAUAAAGGUAUCCACGUGUGGAUAUUUGCAUGUACCCUAUGUAUACGCAUAGGCUCACUCCGUGCCAGCAGCCGCGGUAAUACGGAGGAUGCGAGCGUUAUCUGGAUUUAUUGGGUUUAAAGGGUGCGUAGGUUGUUUUGUAAGUCAGCGGUGAAAGUUUGUGGCUCAACCAUAGAAUUGCCGUUGAAACUGGAAGACUUGAGUGUGUUUGAGGUAGGCGGAAUGCGAGGUGUAGCGGUGAAAUGCAUAGAUAUCACGCAGAACACCGAUUGCGAAGGCAGCUUACUAAGCCAUAACUGACACUGAAGUACGAAAGCGUGGGGAUCAAACAGGAUUAGAUACCCGUGUAGUC